UACGAGGGGUGCAAGCGUUGCUCGGAAUUAUUGGGCGUAAAGGGUAGGUAGGUGGUCUCAUUUGUCUGGGGUGAAAGCCUUGGGCUUAACCCAAGAAGUGCCCCGGAAACGGUGAGACUAGAGUCCUGGAGAGGGUCGUGGAAUUCCCGGUGUAGCGGUGAAAUGCGCAGAUAUCGGGAAGAACACCCGUGGCGAAGGCGGCUCUCUGGGACGGUACUGACGCUGAGACGCGAAAGCGUGGGGAGCGAACAGG
rnacentral:rRNA from 1 species